rnacentral:rRNA from 1 species
GACGUAGGGCGCAAGCGUUGUCCGGAAUUAUUGGGCGUAAAGAGCUCGUAGGCGGCUUGUUGCGUCGGCUGUGAAAACCCGCGGCUUAACUGUGGGCUUGCAGCUGAUACGGGCAGGCUAGAGUUCGGUAGGGGAGACUGGAAUUCCUGGUGUAGCGGUGAAAUGCGCAGAUAUCAGGAGGAACACCGGUGGCGAAGGCGGGUCUCUGGGCCGAUACUGACGCUGAGGAGCGAAAGCGUGGGGAGCGAACAGG